rnacentral:lncRNA from 1 species
GGAUGUCGAGAGCAGCGACGACGAUUCACAACCGACUGAAGUUCCAGGCUCCAACUGGACCGAAUGGAUCCCUGUUAUGUAAGUACCUAUCACCGCAUCGAAUUUCCCGUUGUGAGUUCUGGACCGCAGAGGCUUGCUCAAGGAUAAAAACAAGAAAAAAAACAGUCCAAAGCACCUGGAUUUGCAGCAGCAACAAAACCGCUGUGUGUACCAUUGAGUGUAUUUUUCAUGUUUUGAGAGAAACCAACUUCUUUCCUAGUAAUCUGCAAAACAAACUCCAACCAUUAUUAUAUAGAGUACCAGCACUCCAAGAGUCCGUUCUCCUGUAAAAACCCCACCUAGACAAACUAAAAGUCCCUUCUUCGGAAAAUCUCACUUGGAUCCAAGACUUUACAGGCAGAUAUGAGUGACAUCAACAUGCCCAAGUAGCAGCAGGAACGAAUCUGUGCUUAGAUCUUGGGCAAUCAAAGAGGGAAAGAAGAAGAGGAAGAAAAAAUAAAAUUCCACCGAUGUAAGCAGUCAAAGGCUUAAAUCACACCACACACCGUGAUAUGCAUGACAACUUAUAUAUCCUACCAGGAAGAAGAAAGCACGCAAACGAAUUCCACGGUACAGCCACAGCGGUAGCGGUCGGUUCCUUUCAACCAGGACGAUAAACACACGCGAAUAAUCUACUUAAUGCCAAGCGACCACUAAAAAAGAAUGCUAUGAGACUCCCUCAUUCCAGCAAAGCUAGAGCGUUUCCUCGAUUCAAAUCAAGCGCUGCUUCGAUUGAAUCAAGGCGCCAUAGCUCGAUCGAGCCGAGGAACACGACGCGCCUAGGGAUUUCUUACCUGAUCGAUCGCAAAGACGCCGCUCGCCAUCGCCAAGAGCCAAACUCUAGGGCCG